rnacentral:rRNA from 1 species
GCAGUAGCCGCGGGAAUACGAAGGGGGCUAGCGUUGUUCGGAAUUACUGGGCGUAAAGCGUGCGUAGGCGGCUUCUUAAGUCGGAUGUGAAAUCCCUGAGCUUAACUUAGGAAUUGCAUUCGAUACUGGGAAGCUAGAGUAUGGGAGAGGAUGGUAGAAUUCCAGGUGUAGCGGUGAAAUGCGUAGAGAUCUGGAGGAAUACCGAUGGCGAAGGCAGCCAUCUGGCCUAAUACUGACGCUGAGGUACGAAAGCAUGGGGAGCAAACAGGAUUAGAUACCCCAGUAGUCCCUGUCUCUUAUAC